GACGAACGCUGGCGGCGUGCCUAAUACAUGCAAGUCGAGCGCAGGAAACUGACGGAACUCUUCGGAGGGAAGGCAGUGGAAUGAGCGGCGGACGGGUGAGUAACACGUAAGGAACCUGCCUCAAGGAUUGGGAUAACUCCGAGAAAUCGGAGCUAAUACCGGAUAGUUCAACGGACGGCAUGGUCCGCUGAUGAAAGGCGCUCCGGCGUCACCUUGAGAUGGCCUUGCGGUGCAUUAGCUAGUUGGUGGGGUAACGGCCCACCAAGGCGACGAUGCGUAGCCGACCUGAGAGGGUGAUCGGCCACACUGGGACUGAGACACGGCCCAGACUCCUACGGGAGGCAGCAGUAGGGAAUCUUCCACAAUGGACGAAAGUCUGAUGGAGCAACGCCGCGUGAGUGAUGAAGGUUUUCGGAUCGUAAAACUCUGUUGUAAGGGAAGAACACGUACGAGAGGAAAUGCUCGUACCUUGACGGUACCUUACGAGAAAGCCACGGCUAACUACGUGCCAGCAGCCGCCGUAAAAC
rnacentral:rRNA from 1 species